CUUACUGUCAAGCACAAGUAUGACAAAGCUUACGUGACUUCUAAUGUGGAUAUACUAGGUGCAUAUGUGGUCUGUCAAGCGAACAACUGGACAAGCAUGAAACCUGGACACAUCCUGACCGCUCUCCUGAUAUUCACAUGCAUUGCGCUGUCUUUGCAAUUCGGUGGCCACUCUCACGUCUGCGUCCCGGUCACAAACCACAACAGUGGCAAGAUAGGAGCGUGGUGCCGUGCCUCCUGCCACUGUCACAACUGCGAGUGUGGCUAUCCGAUAAGAUACAAAUGGUUCAAGUUUCUCUGCCUCAGUCCGACGCCUAUACAAAGCCAUACGCCGACACACAAAGACGCACCACUUGGCUCCUCGGUUGGAACGUUGUCCUAUGGCUAUUACUCCGGAGACAAGAUUGAUAAGUGCACGAAAAUAUGUGGUUGCGCGUACUGUGAUUGUCUGUAUACUGUGCCUACCAAGAACUAUGGGAAUACCCAUGACAAUGAGAAUGUUGAUCCCGUGAACAGGCUUUCCAGCAGUCCUCGACAAAAUUUUAGGGCUAAUUUUAGGGAGAAAUUAAGGUUUUUUUAGGGCUAUUU
rnacentral:lncRNA from 1 species